CAGUAGCCGCGGGAAUACAGAGGGUGCGAGCGUUAAUCGGAUUUACUGGGCGUAAAGCGUGCGUAGGCGGCUUUUUAAGUCGGAUGUGAAAUCCCUGAGCUUAACUUAGGAAUUGCAUUCGAUACUGGGAAGCUAGAGUAUGGGAGAGGAUGGUAGAAUUCCAGGUGUAGCGGUGAAAUGCGUAGAGAUCUGGAGGAAUACCGAUGGCGAAGGCAGCAAUCUGGCCUAAUACUGACGCUGAGGUACGAAAGCAUGGGGAGCAAACAGGAUUAGAUACCCCCGUAGUCCCUGUCUCUUAUAC
rnacentral:rRNA from 1 species